AUUGAACGCUGGCGGCAGGCUUAACACAUGCGAGUCGAGCGGGGUGAUGGUGCUUGCACUAUCACUUAGCGGCGGACGGGUGAGUAAUGCUUAGGAAUCUGCCUAUUAGUGGGGGACAACAUCUCGAAAGGGAUGCUAAUACCGCAUACGUCCUACGGGAGAAAGCAGGGGAUCACUUGUGACCUUGCGCUAAUAGAUGAGCCUAAGUCGGAUUAGCUAGUUGGUGGGGUAAAGGCCUACCAAGGCGACGAUCUGUAGCGGGUCUGAGGGGAUGAUCCGCCACACGGGGACUGAGACACGGGCCAGACUCCUACGGGAGGCAGCAGUGGGGAAUAUUGGACAAUGGGGGGAACCCUGAUCCAGCCAUGCCGCGUGUGUGAAGAAGGCCUUAUGGUUGUAAAGCACUUUAAGCGAGGAGGAGGCUCUUUUGGUUAAUACCCAAGAUGAGUGGACGUUACUCGCAGAAUAAGCACCGGCUAACUCUGUGCCAGCCGCCGCCGUAA
rnacentral:rRNA from 1 species